UACGGAGGGUGCAAGCGUUAUCCGGAUUUACUGGGUUUAAAGGGUGCGUAGGUGGGUUUGUAAGUCAGUGGUGAAAUCUCCGAGCUUAACUCGGAAACUGCCAUUGAUACUAUAGAUCUUGAAUUAUCUGGAGGUGAGCGGAAUAUGUCAUGUAGCGGUGAAAUGCUUAGAUAUGACAUAGAACACCAAUUGCGAAGGCAGCUCACUACGGAUAUAUUGACACUGAGGCACGAAAGCGUGGGGAUCAAACAGG
rnacentral:rRNA from 1 species